AUGUAGCUCAGUGGUGGAGCACUUGUUUAGCAUGCAUGAGGCCCUGGGUUCAGACCCCAGUAU
rnacentral:tRNA from 1 species